rnacentral:rRNA from 1 species
AAGGGCGCAUGGUGAAUGCCUUGGCAUCAGGAGCCGAUGAAGGACGUGAUAAGCUGCGAUAAGCUUCGGGUAGGCGCACAUAGCCAGAGAUCCGAAGAUUUCCGAAUGAGGAAACUCACAUGGGAAACCCCAUGUAUCCAUAGGUGAAUACAUAGCUUAUGGAAGGUAAACCCAGGGAACUGAAACAUCUAAGUACCUGGAGGAAGAGAAAGAAAAAUCGAUUUUCUUAGUAGCGGCGAGCGAAAGGGAAAGAGCCCAAACCGGAAAUUUAUUUCCGGGGUUGCGGACAGAACAUUAACGAGAAGUUAUGGAUAAUUGAAGAUGACUGGAAAGUCAAGCCAUAGAGUGUAAUAGCCACGUAAGUGAAAUUCAUAAUAAUCAAGUUCUGAUCCAGAGUACCACGAGACACGUGAAACCUUGUGGGAAGCAGGGAGGACCACCUCCCAAGGCUAAAUACUACCUGAUGACCGAUAGUGAAGCAGUACCGUGAGGGAAAGGUGAAAAGAACCCCGGGAGGGGAGUGAAAUAGAACCUGAAACCGUGUGCCUACAACCGGUCAAAGCCCCUUAUGAGGGUGAUGACGUGCUUUUUGUAGAACGAGCCAACGAGUUACGGUAUGUAGCAAGGUUAAGUACUUAAGGUACGGAGCCGAAGGGAAACCGAGUCUUAAUAGGGCGACUAGUUGCAUGCCGUAGACCCGAAACCGGGUGACCUAUCCAUGGCCAGGUUGAAGCGGGGGUAAAACCCCGUGGAGGACCGAACCACGUUGCUGUUGAAAAAGCAUGGGAUGAGCUGUGGAUAGCGGAGAAAUUCCAAUCGAACGCGUCGGAUAUGAGUAGUGGAGGUAGAGCACUGAAUGGGCUAGGGGGCAUAGCGCUUACCGAACCUUAUCAAACUCCGAAUGCCACAUACUAUUAGUCCGGCAGUCAGACUGCGAAAGAUAAGUUCCGUAGUCAAAAGGGAAACAGCCCAGAUCGUCAGCUAAGGUCCCAAAGUGUAAGUUAAGUGGAAAAGGAUGUGGGAUUUCUAAGACAACUAGGAUGUUGGCUUAGAAGCAGCCACUCAUUAAAAGAGUGCGUAAUAGCUCACUAGUCGAGAGAUCCUGCGCCGAAGAUGUCCGGGGCUCAAACUUACCACCGAAGCUACGGGUUCACACUUAUGUGUGAGCGGUAGAGGAGCGUCGUAAUCGGGCUGAAGUCGUACCGUAAGGAGCGGUGGACUGAUUACGAGUGAGAAUGUUGGCAUUAGUAGCGAGAUGUGGGUGAGAAUCCCACAGGCCGAAUAUCUAAGGUUUCCUCAGGAAGGUUCGUCCGCUGAGGGUUAGUCGGGACCUAAGCCGAGGCCGAAAGGCGUAGGCGAUGGACAAUCGGUUGAUAUUCCGAUACCACUACUGAUCGUUAUUAUCGAUGGUGUGACGGAGAAGGAUAGAGUGUGCUAGCUAUUGGAUGCUAGUCUAAGCGUUUAGGGAGUUAGGAAAGGCAAAUCCGUCCUAACAAUUCUGAGGCGUGAUGGGGAAGGUUCUACGGAACCGAAGUACUUGAUUCCAUGCUUCCAAGAAAAGCAUCUAGAGAGAGAUGUAGUGCCCGUACCGCAAACCGACACAGGUAGAUGAGGAGAGAAUCCUAAGGCCGGCGGAAGAAUCACAGUUAAGGAACUAGGCAAAUUGACCCCGUAACUUAGGGAGAAGGGGUGCCUGUGAGAGCAGGCCGCAGAGAAUAGGCCCAAGCAACUGUUUAGCAAAAACACAGGUCUCUGCUAAAGCGAAAGCUGAUGUAUAGGGGCUGACGCCUGCCCGGUGCUGGAAGGUUAAGGGGAACACUUAGCGCAAGCGAAGGUGUGAACUUAAGCCCCAGUAAACGGCGG